CUUUUCUCUUCUUGAAUAUAAGCCAUUUAACAAUGUGAGACUUGUCUUUUGUGGUUAUUUGUAAUAUCCUGUAUGUGUCUGGAGUACUUUGAUGCCUUGGAUUGGAAGCUAACUUAAAAGAUGAACUUUUGAGGGUGUGUUUUCUAUUGUGUGGGGCUUUUGUCGAAAUUAGGAUUCCGAAACGCGUUUUUCUACGGUGGGUUCAUUCGACAGCGAUUUACUUUCUUAGAAGUUGCGAGACGGUAUGUUUUUGAUUGCAAUUAUUGGAAGAUGACAGAUCCAUCUUUAAAAUGAUACCAGGUUCGGAAAAAUUGAUACUUCGGAAAGGCAAGAAAAAUGCUGUGAAAGUUGUCAGUUUUAUAAUGGGACCCUAUGGGAAUCGGAAUUAGUGUAAUAUAACCUUUAAAAAGCACAUUUACUGCAAUGUCAAGGUCACAUGGAUUCGUCUGCAAGCGAGACAAGUAGAAAAUGAAUUUUAAUGAAUGUUUUGAUGAUUUGGGUGCUAAAAUAGAUGAGAGAUGUCAAUAUUUUGGUCCAAAUGGAUGUUUUAGGUGGUUUUGGACUGUUCCGGAUGGGUGGGGGACCUGGUAUGGACAAGUAAGGGUAACAUUUCCAACAAAUCUUAAAUGUAAAUAUUAUUAUGUCCAUAGAUUGAAGUUUCAGGUGGAGAGCAAGAUGAAAAAUAUGCCAAAUUACAUGCAUGCAACCCAUUUAUGCCAUUUUUCUCUUUGUUUGUAGGCCUGACCGUUUGUCCUUGAGCCGUAGAUGGUCAACAAUCCGCUAGCUGUCUUGCUCUGACUGGUGCACUGGACAUGAUUUCAAUAGUCAGCCAGACCAUGAUUGAGCUUAAGGAUUGUGCUGCGGAUGCAGCCUGUGCAGUUCCGGGAGAAAGUCACUGUCUUGGGCAAUGCGGUCUGGUAUCAGGUCUGGAUGAUCCUUGCCUGACUGCGGGUUUGUGUACACCUCAAUACGACUCUGUGUCCUGAACAGAGGCCGCAGUGGUGCAGCGCUUGUGGACGAUCCAUCAACAUCCUGAAAGGUCAACACUACACCAAGCUGGGAAAAUUGAUCCUGAUAGUCAUCCCCAGGUAGUGGAAUGAAUGUACACUGAACUACAGAGGAAUCACACCCAAAUGACUUUCCUGCCACGACAUUAGUGUGGCCACUCGCGUAGGAAUUCCUUAACCAACGUGCUCUUUUGCAUGGUGACUGUGGGCAUUUUUGCAAAACUUACGCUUUCAACACUGGAUUUUAAAGGGAAUACUUAAUAAAAUGUCGCUAACAGGACUUAUUUAUAUGAGAGAGACUAUCUGGAUGCGCAUUAAGUGUCACUUUGUGUCGUAAGCUGUUGAAGGAGCGAUUUGCGCCUUUUUAAGUGUUAAUUUUGGGUAGCCGGCUUGUAUCGGCUUGAAAGCUGCAAAUUAUGCCUCUCAUCAUAAUAG